rnacentral:rRNA from 1 species
GACAUUAUUGAACAGCAAUGGGUGGCAAAGACUGUUGCUGGCUUGAAUGAGCAUGUGCACGUCAUUUGCUGCUUAUUUCAUUCAUUUUUCCUCCUGUGAACCUUUUGUAGACACUUGGGAAUGAGAAGUUGGUUGUAAUGAUUGACCUCUUGAUAUUGAUCUGGGUGUCUAUGCCAUUUUUAUAAAGACAUGGUUGCAUGUGUAUAGAAUGAGAUUGUAUGGUUUUUUUAAUAAAGCCUUUAAAUGAUAAUACAACUUUCAACAACGGAUCUCUUGGCUCUCGCAUCGAUGAAGAACGCAGCGAAAUGCGAUAAGUAAUGUGAAUUGCAGAAUUCAGUGAAUCAUCGAAUCUUUGAACGCAUCUUGCGCUCCUUGGUAUUCCGAGGAGCAUGCCUGUUUGAGUGUCAUUAAGUAUCUCAAAAGCUCUUACUUAUGUGCUAUACAUGAGAGUUUUGGACAUUGGGAGUUGCUGGUCACUAAGUGAUGGGCUCUUCUGAAAAGCAUUAGUUGAGGAGCUUUUGCACUCUAUUGGUGUGAUAAACUAUCUAUGCCAGGAGAAGCAUUAUGAACCCUCUGCUGCCUAACAGUCCAUUAUUGGACAAGAUGAUCAACUUGACCUCAAAUCAGGUAGGACUACCCGCUGAACUUA